rnacentral:rRNA from 1 species
AUAACGACUCUCGACAACGGAUAUCUCGGCUCUCGCAUCGAUGAAGAACGUAGCGAAAUGCGAUACUUGGUGUGAAUUGCAGAAUCCCGCGAAUCAUCGAGUCUUUGAACGCAAGUUGCGCCCUAGGCCAUCCGGCUGAGGGCACGUCUGCCUGGGUGUCACGC